UGGGGAAUCUUGCGCAAUGGGCGAAAGCCUGACGCAGCCAUGCCGCGUGAAUGAUGAAGGUCUUAGGAUUGUAAAAUUCUUUCACCGGGGACGAUAAUGACGGUACCCGGAGAAGAAGCCCCGGCUAACUUCGUGCCAGCAGCCGCGGUAAUACGAAGGGGGCUAGCGUUGUUCGGAAUUACUGGGCGUAAGGCGCACGUAGGCGGAUUUUUAAGUCAGGGGUGAAAUCCCGAGGCUCAACCUCGGAACUGCCUUUGAUACUGGAGAUCUUGAGUUCGGAAGAGGUUGGUGGAACAGCUAGUGUAGAGGUGAAAUUCGUAGAUAUUCGGAAGAGCACCAGUGGCGAAGGCGACAUACUGGCUCAUUACUGACGCUGAGGCUCGAAAGCGUGGGGAGCAAACA
rnacentral:rRNA from 1 species